CAGCUGUCAAUGUGGCAUGUGUGUUCAUCAAACGUUAAUAUUUAAAAUAAAAAACAAAAAAAUUAAGUUGGCAUUAUUCCUUUUUCACUGGCGGGGACUUUCCCAGGCAGAUGCUCCCUCGGCACUUCAACUGUUUGCACGCUGCAUCGGAUCUAAAUUUCAGAGACUGAUUAACACGUCUCCGGUGGGGCAUGCAGCUGUCGUGGGGUGCUCAUGUUAUCAGCAGCAGAGAUGUAACCAAGCGUUUUUGUUACCUGUGAUUUUACUUGACAGGAUCCGUCUGCCUAUGUGGAGAAAAGGAGAGAAGUGAUACUGAGAUGCCUGAUUGAGUACAUGGGGGAGAGAAAAGAAAACCUCA